CGAAAGCCUGACGGAGCAAUACCGCGUGAGGGAGGAAGGCUCUUGGGUUGUAAACCUCUUUUCUCAGGGAAUAAAAAAUGAAGGUACCUGAGGAAUAAGCAUCGGCUAACCCUGUGCCAGCAGCCGCGGUAAUACGGGGGAUGCAAGCGUUAUCCGGAAUGAUUGGGCGUAAAGCGUCCGCAGGUGGCUAUGUAAGUCUGCUGUUAAAGAGCAAGGCUCAACCUUGUAAAGGCAGUGGAAACUACAUAGCUAGAGUGCGUUCGGGGCAGAGGGAAUUCCUGGUGUAGCGGUGAAAUGCGUAGAUAUCAGGAAGAACACCAACGGCGAAAGCGCUCUGCUAGGCCGAUACUGACACUGAGGGACGAAAGCUAGGGGAGCG
rnacentral:rRNA from 1 species